rnacentral:lncRNA from 1 species
AUUCAAUAUAAUUCAGGAGAUAAUGAAAAGAGACAUGUAACACAAACCGGUGCUAAAGGGUUUGCCUCGGCCCGUGGCUCUGGCCGGUGCUAAAGGGACCCCUUUAGCACCGGUUCUUGUUAAAAACCGGUGCUAAAGGGUCCCUGCCCCGACAGCACAUGUCAGUAGCCGUUGGGCAGGACCCUUUAGCACCGGUUUGUCACACGAACCGGUGCUAAAGGGGUCUUUAACCCCGGGCCGCAAAAAGGCCGAGGUUUUUGGCCAUUUUGGGCAUCGACCAAUGCCUCAUUCUGUAGCAGUGUACUCUACAUCGAGAAGCAGGUUUGCAUCUAAUGACAAUGGAGCAGUGCUACUGUGGUCGUUGGGCUUCCCCUAUAUCUAUGCAAUGUCUUUAGGAACCAAAUAGAGAGCAGGCAAAAUAGUUUCAUAUACGGUCACUGUUUGUGGUGGGAGAGAGAGGAUGUCGUUGUUACUCUUGUUUAGAAAUUAGAUAUAGCUUUCAUGAUUUUCCCCCCUCCCAAACAUUUUUGCUUUUGGUAUGGAUGGCAUCUGGAUUAUAUGGGAUACAACUCAUCAUCCAACUAGUGCAAAGAUGGGAGACGCACCUUUUGUCUCCACAGUAGAUGGGUCGCCCUGGAUGGCUUGUCAUAGACAUAAAGGUUGUUGUGGGGCGUGUGAUGCAUCGGAUAAUGGAUCUGGUUCCAUCCUCACUAGGUGACAGUGAAUUAGCUGUACACUUAGCGGUCACUGAUGUAAUUAAUGUCAGAUAUCCAUGAGUUGGUUGAUCAAAAAGGAAAAAAACAAAAAAAAAAAUUGCUUCAGACCAGGAGUUUAGCCUAAUAAUGUUAUUAUAAGGCAUCAGUGCUGAACUGAGAAUAGUUCAGCUGACUGGAGUUCCUUGUGCCAAACAUAUCCACCCGUAUUUAAGCUAUUAACAUUUUUACGAAGUGCAUGAUUACUUAAUUAACAUUUUCCUACACUAUGUAUUGCCAGCUUUUAUAUUAAUUUAAUUAGUAGUAACUCGUGCAGUAUAGCAGCGUACACUCAAAAAGAUUUUUGAAUAAACCAGAGUUGAUUACGUUUUCAAAAACAGAAAACGUAUUUUGAAUAAAACAAGAUUUGAUUACGUUUUCAAAAACAAAAAGCGUAUUUCCUAACACCGCCAAGGACUGCGGGUUCAUUUGGCAAAACCCGAGGGUCUCUUUAACAAAUCUCUAAAUACGAUUCCUGCACCAAAAGCGGGCUAACGGAUAGGGCCACGUCGCCCGCAAACUAUCUAGCCGUCAGAUCCAACUAAGGCGUCAUAUGGACCGUCUGAUCUGGGUCGUAUUGGGUCUCUCACCCGUUAAGCCGUCAACCCGGGCGGUCACGAAUCCUCGCGAACCCGCUCGCGGGUGACUCCUGGGACUGUCCGCGGUGCAUUUCUCUCAUCCAGACCAGCCCUCCCAAUGCGAAAUGUCGUUCGCCGCUUCCGCAUCUCCCUCCUCCUCCCAGCGCGCAGCCGGACUCGGGCUGCCGGCCAUGCGCACGGCCCGUGCCUGGCGCGCGUCCGUGUGCCCCUCGCACCUACGAGAUUUCACCCCUCCCCACGGGAGCAGAGCAUGCGCUCGGCACUGCCGAUUCAGGGGCC